CUGAGGAGAAGGAAGUGACAAGUUCCAGCCAUCUCCUGUGAUUACCUUAAGUUAGCAUUCUUUGUUUUAGCCAAGGCCAGUGUGCGACUUUCAGAAAUCAGAACCAGCAGGAGUUGUGGUCGUAGCUGUGCAGUCUGAGAUUAGUUAAGAUAUAAAAGGCACAGACCAACCUUACUACUAGAGAACUAUCAACCAUGGCUGGACUUGAAAGUUCCCUCAAGUGUGUGCCUCUCAGAGGUUCUGGAACUGGUUCUUCAAAAGUUGUGUAUCCCGGGUACAGAGGAUCACUGGCA